UACGAAGGGGGCUAGCGUUGUUCGGAUUUACUGGGCGUAAAGCGCACGUAGGCGGAUCGAUCAGUCAGGGGUGAAAUCCCAGGGCUCAACCCUGGAACUGCCUUUGAUACUGUCGAUCUGGAGUAUGGAAGAGGGGCGUGGAAUUCCGGGUGGAGCGGUGAAAUGCGUAGAGAUCCGGAGGAACACCAAUGGCGAAAGCAGCUCGCUGGGACGGUACUGACGCUGAGACGCGAAAGCGUGGGGAGCAAACAGG
rnacentral:rRNA from 1 species